rnacentral:rRNA from 1 species
UGGGGAAUAUUGCGCAAUGGGCGGAAGCCUGACGCAGCGACGCCGCGUGGGGGAUGACGGCCUUCGGGUUGUAAACCUCUUUCGCCAUCGACGAAGCUUUUCGGAGUGACGGUAGGUGGAGAAGAAGCACCGGCCAACUACGUGCCAGCAGCCGCGGUAAUACGUAGGGUGCGAGCGUUGUCCGGAAUUAUUGGGCGUAAAGAGCUCGUAGGCGGUGUGUCACGUCGGUCGUGAAAACUUGGGGCUUAACUCUGAGCGUGCGGUCGAUACGGGCAUCACUGGAGUUCGGCAGGGGAGACUGGAAUUCCUGGUGUAGCGGUGAAAUGCGCAGAUAUCAGGAGGAACACCGGUGGCGAAGGCGGGUCUCUGGGCCGAUACUGACGCUGAGGAGCGAAAGCGUGGGGAGCGAACAGGAUUAGAUACCCGGUAGUCC